UUCCAAAUUAGCUCUUCACUUAGAUCCUCAAAUUAUUGGCUAAUAAUCAAUAAGGUCAUUAGACUUUAAUAAUAAUGCACUUAAGUCCUAAUUUUUAAUUUAAAAUUCGGGAUAUUACAGAGUGAUAGCUUGGUUGUUCCCCUUAAUCAUGCGUGUGGACAGAACUCGCAUUGGUUGUUUUUGAUCCUCCGCUCCUUUGUACAGCACUGGUAGCUCAAGUUUGUAAGCAACCUUUCCAACCUUCUGUACUACCUGAUAAGGCCCAUAGUAUUUUGCAGCCAGCUUCUUGUUUAACCUCUUAGCCACUGUCUCUUGAGCAUAUGGGUGUAACCUGAGCCAAUCAAACUUGAGUUUGAGAAGGUUUACUAUCCAUAUCUAUUGAUUAGUAAGAAGAGGUAUGCUGGUCUUUACUGGACAAACCCAAACAAAUUUGAAAAUAUGAACACCAAAGGUGAGCCAGGCUUUCGACCUUUUCAUGGGAUUUUCAUGUUAUCUCUUUUAGUUAUUACUAAGGGUCUUUCAAAAACUGGAGAUGAUUAUGAAGUUAAAGAAGCACAUGUUGAGCUUGCGAAACGGAUGCGCAAGGUCUGAAGAGUUCAUUUCUUUGAUUGUUAAUCAUGACAAACAGCACAUAUUCAAUGAAAUAUUACACUUGUUAGCUUGAUAAAAGAACUUAAAAAUUUAUCACGUUCAACUUUGAGAAUUGCCUGAAAUACACUAUAAGAAGCAUGAAAUUGAAGUUCAACAUUCCUUUAACAGAUGGCAUAUAAUGUUCUCACUUUUUGAGUUGCCAAUUGCAGUUCCAUGUACUUGGUAAGAAUAUCAGAGUUUCAUUUUUCCUUUUUUGGGAGGUGACUGAGGUUAGUAAACAAAAAGGGUGUAGAAAUAUAGAGUUUCUAAUAUAUGUCUUUUCGCAAGCCAAAAUGCUUCUUAUGUAGGAUGUGUUUGAACCCCAUUUUUUGUGGGAAAAUAGGUUCUGUAAUCGUGAUUUUUUUUUCUUUUUUCUUUUUGAGAAUAUGCGGUUAAAAAGAAGGGAGAAGUUUUGGUUUUAUGUGUAAAAUAAUUUUAUUGGGAGAAUGUGUGAUUGAAAAUGAGUUUGAGGAAAAAUGAAUUUUUGGAUAAUGGGGCUCAAACAGUGGCAUAAUAUACUGAAAAGUGUAACUUGUGCAAAACUGUGGGAUCUUUUUCACUUGACUAUGGUCCUGAUAAAAUUUCUCUAUGGUCUGUAUGCUUCUACUUUUUCUCUCAAUUUUGCUGAUAUGUUCUCUCUGUUGGUGUAUCUUCUUACAGCGGAUCUACUAUUUAUGUUAAAAACCAAUUGGUGCAGUAUCUAAACAGGUUGCUAGAAGAAACAUAUCCUAUUUAACUAUUACCAUAGACCCACCUUAUGAAGCAGGGUUUGUGGUCCAGCUGUUUCUCUUCAUGUCUUAGUAUGCACUCUGUUCAGUAUCAUUUUAAGGAGAUAAUUUUCCUUUCUUCAGUAUCUUUGGUCAGGGGUCUUCAUAUAAGUUAGUAGUAGUCAAUAACAAGUCAGUGUUGAUUGUUCUAUUUAAAUAUUCCAUUGGAAUACAGAUUGAACUCUCUCAUGACUUCAAUUUAGGAUUCAUAGUUAGUGUUUUCAUGCUCCGUCCACUGUAUUUUUUAAUAUGAAAUUCUAUGACAAUUUUUUUAUUAACGGUGAGAUGCUGCUACCGCUCCAAAUGUCGGGGAUCGAGUACUUUCUGUCAUUAUUAAAGCUGCGAAAGGUCCCAAGGCGUAUGAAAGAUCAGAGGAUCCCAUAUGUGUGUUAGAACACAACAUACAUAUAGACCCUCACUAUUACCUCAAAAAUCAAAUUAGCAAGCCACUUCUAAGGAUCUUUGAACCCAUCCUGAAGAAUGCUAGUAAAGAGCUUCUCCAAGGGAGUCACACAAGAUCCAUAUCUAUCUCUACUCCUUCAAACAGUUGCAUAAUGAGAUUCGCUAAAAAAAUAACUAACUUGCAUCGGAUGCAAAGCUUUACUCAGCAAUUCAGAUCAUACUCUCCGCUCGCACUGCAAAGAAGCUAAUGCUCUUCGGGAGGCUAUGGACACAAUGCCGGGAGUGCCAAGGUUCUCUUCACCAGGAUGUGCUGUGCACUAGUUGAGAUCGCACAGUAUUUUAUUGAAGGAAGAAUGCACAGAAAGACAUGGCUGAAGCCAAGCUUCCAUUGGAUCGAUGGAACUACUGAUACACUAAAGGUUGUUUUACUGUAUGAAAUAAUAGAUGCCUAUUAUAUAGUUCCAGAUAUUUUCGAAUGUGCGUGCUGAAUCUGAAUGCUUCCAAAGGGAUGGGAUGAAAAACUGAAUCUGAAUGCAUCCGAAGAGCAGUUAGGGACCAGACGGGUAAUAUUUCAUCUCGUGGAUAGUUGGUGUUGGCUUGAUGGCUCUUAAUGCAUUAAUCACCAGUGCCAGUGUAUAUUUUUUGACGAUGAAAUGCAACGUAAUGAUCGGUGUGCGAAUGUUGAGUUGUUGAUUGAUGGAGUCAAUCAUCACCCAGUCACAGAGUUAAGAUCCAGUUUCUAGUGUAUCAAGUUUGAAGGUAGCAAGUCUGUUUUUGUGAAAGAUGUGUUCAGAAUUUGGGUUUGAGUUGUUUUAUAGUUGCAUUAGCUUAAAUCUUAUGAAACAAUAUUCUAACGAGUGUAGAAUGUUGCCAACUUAAGCAUAUAAAGUAUCUCAAAUAUAUCA